rnacentral:rRNA from 1 species
AGUAGUUCGAUCCGUGGCUCAGGACGAACGCUGGCGGCGUGCCUAAUACAUGCAAGUCGAGCGGACAGAUAAGGAGCUUGCUCCUUUGACGUUAGCGGCGGACGGGUGAGUAACACGUGGGCAACCUGCCCCUUAGACUGGGAUAACUCCGGGAAACCGGAGCUAAUACCGGAUAAUCCCUUUCUCCACCUGGAGAGAGGGUGAAAGAUGGCUUCGGCUAUCACUAAGGGAUGGGCCCGCGGCGCAUUAGCUAGUUGGUAAGGUAACGGCUUACCAAGGCAACGAUGCGUAGCCGACCUGAGAGGGUGAUCGGCCACACUGGGACUGAGACACGGCCCAGACUCCUACGGGAGGCAGCAGUAGGGAAUCUUCCGCAAUGGACGAAAGUCUGACGGAGCAACGCCGCGUGAGUGAGGAAGGCCUUCGGGUCGUAAAGCUCUGUUGUGAGGGAAGAAGCGGUACCGUUCGAAUAGGGCGGUACCUUGACGGUACCUCACCAGAAAGCCACGGCUAACUACGUG